rnacentral:misc_RNA from 1 species
GAAAUGCGAUAAGUAGUGUGAAUUGCAGAAUUCAGUGAAUCAUCGAAUCUUUGAACGCACAUUGCGCCCCUUGGUAUUCCAUGGGGCAUGCCUGUUCGAGCGUCAUUUGUACCCUCAAGCUCUGCUUGGUGUUGGGUGUUUGUUGCGUCCUGGACGCGACUCGCCUUAAAUGUAUUGGCAGCCGGCGUAUUGGCCUUGGAGCGCAGCACAAUUUGCGAGCCACAGACCUUUGGUUGGCGUCCACAAAGCUCAUUAUCACUUUUGACCUCGGAUCAGGUAGGGAUACCCGCUGAACUUAA